rnacentral:rRNA from 1 species
AGCUCCAAUAGCGUAUAUUAAAGUUGUUGCGGUUAAAAAGCUCGUAGUUGGAUUUCUGUUGAGGGUGGCCAGUCCGCACUUUGUGCGAGUAUUUGGUUCAGCCUCGGCAUCCUCCUGGGGAGCGAGUUUGUACUUGACUGUAUGGCUCGUAAUUCAGGACUUUUACUUUGAGGAAAUUAGAGUGUUCACGGCAGGCAAUCGCCUUGAAUAUGUUAGCAUGGAAUAAUAAUAUAAGACCUUGGUUUUAUUUUGUUGGUUUCUAGAAGCAGGGUAAUGAUUAAUAGGGAUAAUUGGGGGUAUUCGAAUUAAGGCGUCAGAGGUGGAAUUCUUGGAUUGCCUUACGACGAACUACUGCGAAAGCAUUUACCAAGGAUGUUUUCA